rnacentral:rRNA from 1 species
UACGAAGGGGGCUAGCGUUGCUCGGAAUCACUGGGCAUAAAGGGUGCGUAGGCGGGUCUUUAAGUCAGAGGGGAAAUCCUGGAGCUCAACUCCAGAACUGCCUUUGAUACUGAAGAUCUUGAGUUCGGGAGAGGUGAGUGGAACUGCGAGUGUAGAGGUGAAAUUCGUAGAUAUUCGCAAGAACACCAGUGGCGAAGGCGGCUCACUGGCCCGAUACUGACGCUGAGGCACGAAAGCGUGGGGAGCAAACAGG